ACUCAAUUAUUGUAAGUAUCCUACUAUCGUCUUCCGCACGUCUGUAACAUAGCAAAUUUUCCCAUGAGCAUAAUAGCGACUCGUUUAAAGCUAAUUUCGCAUUAUUGUUGGAAUUAUGCUCUAGGAGAUUUUGGUCACCUUUAAUAACGCAAAGAACCAUUUCCUCAAAUUUAAUGUCAUUAUACCCAUGGUUUGCCAAAACGCAAGAAACACUAAAUGUCAGCAAAUAAGAAAAUUGUAGAAAUACUUACUUUGUUUUAAGCAAAAGGACCUCCUCUUUUUCAUGUAACAUAAGAGAUAAUUUAAAAG